rnacentral:lncRNA from 1 species
UAUUUAUCACUCCCGUCAGCAUCGAUUUUAUCAUCCUAUCGUCUAAUUUAUUUGUUAAUUUUCAUAGAGAAGGACCACAUGGAUUUGAUCCCUGUUUUCCGGAGGAUCUCAGUCCAAGGGAACAUAGGUAGCAGAUGAAGCAAUGACCAAGAUGCCUCCAGGGAACUGAAUCUGAAAGCCUCUGAAGCAGUGGAAAGGGAACGUGCUGGGGAGUCAGGAGACCUGAAAGAAAAUGGAGCAAAUUCCACCACCCACCCUUUAGUGACACCUACUGUUUCCACUAAUCAGACGAAUGUGAUUCAGUAA